UCCGGUCUCCCGGAUGAGGAUGAAAAGGGAAUCAGGUGCGAAUCCUGAACAGUCCCGCUGCUGUGACUCCUAUAAAAACACUCCGGACAAUCUUUAGCCACUGUUUCACGGGAAGGCCGUCCGGUAUGUGGAGAAGUCAGAAGACCUGCCGUUGCAUCC
rnacentral:ncRNA from 1 species